rnacentral:rRNA from 1 species
AUUGAACGCUGGCGGCAGGCCUAACACAUGCAAGUCGAACGAGUGGCGGACGGGUGAGUAAUGUCUGGGAAACUGCCUGAUGGAGGGGGAUAACUACUGGAAACGGUAGCUAAUACCGCAUACCAUCGGAUGUGCCCAGAUGGGAUUAGCUAGUAGGUGGGGUAAAGGCUCACCUAGGAGACGAUCCCUAGCUGGUCUGAGAGGAUGACGAGCAACACUGGAAUUGAGACACGGGGCAGACUCCUACGGGAGGCAGAAGUGGGGAAUAUUGCACAAGGGGCGCAAGCCUGAUGCAGCCAUGCCGCGUGUAUGAAGAAGGCCUUCGGGUUGUAAAGUACUUUCAGCGGGGAGGCGUUACCCGCAGAAGAAGCACCGGCUAACGCCGUGCCAGCAGCCGCGGUAAUAC